rnacentral:lncRNA from 1 species
UCUCAUCUAUUUGAGCUUUGGACAGAGAACGGAGGCCCAUCCCUCCGGGGUCAGCAAAGAAGCCAGGCUCAGAAAAGGACACUUCAAGCCUCUUUUCAUAGCCUUCAAAUCCAAUAGCAGAGGUAGGCAAGGCCAUCUUGCCUCAGAGGAACAAAUAACACUUGUGAAGGAGUAUGAGAGAACGAGGUAAGUAGAAAAGAAAUGCAGAAUAAAAAACAAUAUUGUAAGUAUGAGAGCUAAGACGGGGAUAUAUGUUCACAGUUGGGCGAUCUCAGGAUGGCUUCCUCACGC